rnacentral:lncRNA from 1 species
AAUAAAUCUGCCGCCCAGGGCAACAUUGAUGCAGGACCUUCUGCUGCUCACUUACUAGAAGAUAUGCCUAUUGAUCAUGAGGAUCUUGAUGCGCGACCUGCUGCUGCACACUUACCAGAAGGUAUACCUAUUGAUCAAGAGGAUCUUGAUGCGCAACCUGCUGUUGCACACUUAUCAGAAGAUACACCUAUCGAUCAAGAGAAUCUUGAUGCGCAACCUGCUGCAAAUUCAAUAUCUGUAGAUACUCAUUUCGAUCAGCAGGAAGACAUUGACACACAAACCGGCCAAGAAUCUGCCCCAUCGAUAGGUGUAUCUUCAGCUACAA